rnacentral:rRNA from 1 species
GACGAACGCUGGCGGCGUGCUUAACACAUGCCAGUCGAACGGAAAGGCCCUGCUUUUGUGGGGUGCUCGAGUGGCGAACGGGUGAGUAACACGUGAGUAACCUGCCCUUGACUUUGGGAUAACUUCAGGAAACUGGGGCUAAUACCGGAUAGGAGCUCCUGCUGCAUGGUGGGGGUUGGAAAGUUUCGGCGGUUGGGGAUGGACUCGCGGCUUAUCAGCUUGUUGGUGGGGUAGUGGCUUACCAAGGCUUUGACGGGUAGCCGGCCUGAGAGGGUGACCGGCAACAUUGGGACUGAGAUACGGCCCAGACUCCUACGGGAGGCAGCAGUGGGGAAUAUUGAACAAUGGGCGGAAGCCUGAUGCAGCAACGCCGCGUGCGGGAUGACGGCCUUCGGGUUGUAAACCGCUUUCGCCUGUGACGAAGCGUGAGUGACGGUAAUGGGUAAAGAAGCACCGGCUAACUACGUG